GGUUUUAAAGUGCACGUCAGCCAGGCUGCACACCACUGUACGACAGAGGAGUUACCUGUCGUCAUUAUGGAUCUUUAUGCUCAUCCACUCGUGACUCAUGCUGUCCACCUCCCAGAUGUCUAUUGAUCUCUACAACCUUUCUGCUCUGUGGCUCCCAUACAACUUGAAAAUCUUGGCCAGCCUCCUGAUCUUGUAACAGAAAAACCUGUGCUCCCGGGAUCCAUCUCCACGUUUGUCAUCACAGUGAAAGCUACCUCCAGUCUAAGGAACCUAUGAAACAUCACUGUUGGCCCAACCUCUCCUCACAUGGCUCCAGAAUCUCUGCUUGUGGUUUAGAGUUUUGUCAAAAAUCUUGAAAGUUAUGAUCAGAUUGUUAUCUAACAUUGUCUUAGUAGUAGCUAUAAUAAAUGUUAUCUUUAAAGCGCAAUUGUGUCUUUUUAAAUACAAUUAUAUUGAUAUUUUGAUGUGUAUAAAUACAUAUAUCACAUUUAUUAUCAUUCAUUUUUACCUAAUUGAACCU